AUUGAACGCUGGCGGCAGGCCUAACACAUGCAAGUCGAGCGGAAGAAGGGAGCUUGCUCCUGGAUUCAGCGGCGGACGGGUGAGUAAUGCCUAGGAAUCUGCUGCGUAGUGGGGGAUAACGUCCGGAAACGGGCGCUAAUACCGCAUACGUCCUGAGGGAGAAAGUGGGGGAGCUUCGGACCUCACGCUAUCAGAUGAGCCUAGGUGGGAUUAGUUAGUUGGUUGGGUAAAGGGCUACCAAGGCGGCGAUCCGUAACUGGUCUGAGAGGAUGAUCAGUCACACUGGAACUGAGACGCCGUCCAGACUCCUACGGGAGGCAGCAGUGGGGAAUGUUAGACAAUGGGCGAGAGCAUGAUCCAGCCAUGCCGCGUGUGUGAAGAAGGUCUUCGGAUUGUAAAGCACUUUAAGUUGGGAGGAAGCGCAGUAAGUUAAUACCUUGCUGUUUUGACGUUACCAACAGAAUAAGCACCGGCUAACUUCGUG
rnacentral:rRNA from 1 species